GGAAAUAGCAUUUAGUGAAGGUAGUCGCCUGGCUCUCCCCCAGUGAAGAAGGAAAAUAAAAGCUUUAUCUGAGAGGUGUUUUCCAGAAGCUGAAGGUUGAUGCUGAACUGCUGAAGCUGGAGGAGCCAGAUGACAAAGAGCAUGGUGAGGAGGAGUAUCAGGCUAUGACACACGUUAUUUUGGAAAAACUUUUCAUAUGAUUAUUUAUUUUUCUAAUCCACCAUUUUUGGAAUGAGCUGAGAUUAGCCCAACUAAUAUUAACAUCAGUUCUAGGCUUGAAUCCAAACAGACUUUUCAAGAUCUCUAAAUUCCUUCAGAGAUGCUUAGAGGGAUAGAAUGCAGCUGAAUCACAGUCUCCCAACCAGAUCUUCCUUACCCGUGAGAACUACGGUCAAAGGAGGACUUAUCCAAGGAACUGCAAAGACUUUUUGAUCCAGACAUCAGUUUAUCUAGGCACUCACCACUGAUGGUCCAAGUCCAUCCACUUGGUCCUGAGAAAACCUUCUCAAAGUGCCUGGGAGAAAAUCCAUGGUUUCACUGAGACACCAAUGAGUAUGAAUAAUAGAGAAGACCAGACCUUGGCUGACACUUUGAGAAUCUCUGAUAGAAUUGAUUCCCCCUCUCAGCUGGCACCAUCCAGGAAGAACCACAUGACCAGCUUGCCUGCUUGAUCUGAGCAGCACUGAUUGAAAGAGAAAACUACUGUUUUGUGAAUGAUCAACCUCACUCAAAGUUGACAUUUUUAACA
rnacentral:lncRNA from 1 species